rnacentral:ncRNA from 2 species
UACGAAGGGGGCUAGCGUUGCUCGGAAUCACUGGGCGUAAAGGGCGCGUAGGCGGACCUUUAAGUCAGGGGUGAAAGCCUGUGGCUCAACCACAGAAUUGCCUUUGAUACUGAGGGUCUCGAGACCGGAAGAGGUUGGUGGAACUGCGAGUGUAGAGGUGAAAUUCGUAGAUAUUCGCAAGAACACCAGUGGCGAAGGCGGCCAACUGGUCCGGUUCUGACGCUGAGGCGCGAAAGCGUGGGGAGCAAACAGG